rnacentral:rRNA from 1 species
AUGAACGCUGGCGGCGUGCCUAAUCCCUGCAAGUCGCGCGAACAGACGAGGAGCUUGCUCCUCUGACGUUAGCGGCGGACGGGUGAGUAACACGUGGAUAACCUACCUAUAAGACUGGGAUAACUUCGGGAAACCGGAGCUAAUACCGGAUAAUAUAUUGAACCGCAUGGUUCAAUAGUGAAAGACGGUUUUGCUGUCACUUAUAGAUGGAUCCGCGCCGCAUUAGCUAGUUGGUAAGGUAACGGCUUACCAAGGCAACGAUGCGUAGCCGACCUGAGAGGGUGAUCGGCCACACUGGAACUGAGACACGGUCCAGACUCCUACGGGAGGCAGCAGUAGGGAAUCUUCCGCAAUGGGCGAAAGCCUGACGGAGCAACGCCGCGUGAGUGAUGAAGGUCUUCGGAUCGUAAAACUCUGUUAUUAGGGAAGAACAAAUGUGUAAGUAACUAUGCACGACUUGACGGUACCUAAUCAGAAAGCCACGGCUAACUACGUG